rnacentral:rRNA from 1 species
AACGUAGGAGACAAACGUUAUCCGGAGUUACUGGGCGUAAAGGGCGCGUAGGCGGCCAGGCAAGUCGGCUUGUGAAAGCCCGGGGCUCAACCCCGGAGGUGCGGCCGGGACUGCUUGGCUGGAGGCCGGAAGAGGAGGGUGGAAUACCCAGUGUAGAGGUGAAAUUCGUAGAUAUUGGGUGGAACACCGGUGGCGAAAGCGGCUCUCUGGUCCGGACCUGACGCUGAGGCGCGAAAGCGUGGGGAGCAAACAGG